rnacentral:rRNA from 3 species
GACGAACCGUGCGAACGUUGUUCGGAAUCACUGGGCUUAAAGGGCGCGUAGGCGGGCUGUCAAGUCUGGGGUGAAAUGCCGCGGCUCAACCGUGGAACUGCCUUAGAUACUGACGGCCUCGAGGAAGGUAGGGGCAUGCGGAACUGUAGGUGGAGCGGUGAAAUGCGUUGAUAUCUACAGGAACUCCGGUGGCGAAAGCGGCGUGCUGGACCUUUUCUGACGCUGAGGCGCGAAAGCUAGGGGAGCAAACGGG